AGAGUUUGAUCCUGGCUCAGAUUGAACGCUGGCGGCGUGCUUAACACAUGCAAGUCGUGCGGUAACAGGCGUAGCAAUACGUGCUGACGAGCGGCGAACGGGUGCGUAAUACAUGGGAAUCUGCCUUUUAGUGGGGAAUAACCCGGCGAAAGCCGGGCUAAUGCCGCAUAAGAUCUUCGGAUGAAAGCGGGGGAUCGUAAGACCUCGCGCUGAUAGAUGGGCCCAUGCCGGAUUAGCUAGUUGGUGAGGUAACGGCUCACCAAGGCGACGAUCCGUAGCUGGUCUGAGAGGACGGCCAGCCACACUGGGACUGAGACACGGCCCAGACUCCUACGGGAGGCAGCAGUGGGGAAUAUUGGACAAUGGGGGAAACCCUGAUCCAGCGACGCCGCGUGUGUGAAGAAGGCCUGCGGGUUGUAAAGCACUUUCGGUGGGAACGAAAUAUGCCGGGCUAAUACCCCGGUAGGCUGACGUACUCAAGAAGAGA
rnacentral:rRNA from 1 species